rnacentral:rRNA from 2 species
CCAGCGGCCGCGGUAAUACGGAGGGCGCAAGCGUUACUCGGAAUCACUAGGCGUAAAGAGCGUGGACGCGGAUAAAUAAUGCAGGAGUGAAAUCCAAUAGCUCAACUAUUGAACUGCUUUAGAAACUGUGUAUAUAGAGUAUGGGAGAGGUAGAUGGAAGUUCUGGUGUAGGGGUAAAAUCCGUAGAGAUCAGAAGGAAUACAGAUUGCGAAGGCGAUCUACUGGAACAUAACAGACGCUGAGACGCGAAAGCGUGGGGAGCAAACCGGAUUAGAUACCCUGGUAGUCCACGCCCUAAACGAUGUAUAUUUGUGUUUGCUAUGCUUGACGUAUCUUUAAUGCAGUUUACAUAGUAAGUGUAACUGAUGAGUAGCACCGUUGACAGAAUAAAACUCAAGGGAAUGUAUGGAGACUCGGCCAAGAGGUGGGGGCUGUG